rnacentral:rRNA from 1 species
GACCCUUGCGUAGGAAUCUGUCUUUUAGUGGGGGACAACCCAGGGAAACUUGGGCUAAUACCGCAGAGCCCUGAGGGGGAAAGCGGGGGAUCUUCGGACCUCGCGCUAAGAGAGGAGCCUACGUCCGAUUAGCUAGUUGGCGGGGUAAAGGCCCACCAAGGCGACGAUCGGUAGCUGGUCUGAGAGGACGACCAGCCACACUGGGACUGAGACACGGCCCAGACUCCUACGGGAGGCAGCAGUGGGGAAUUUUUCGCAAUGGGGGCAACCCUGACGAAGCAAUGCCGCGUGGAUGAAGAAGGCCUUCGGGUUGUAAAGUCCUUUCGUGGAGGACGAAAAGGUGGGUUCUAAUACAAUCUGCUAUUGACGUGAAUCCAAGAAGAAGCACCGGCUAACUCCGUGCCAGCAGCCGCGGUAAUACGGGGGGUGCAAGCGUUAAUCGGAAUCACUGGGCGUAAAGGGUGCGUAGGCGGUACGUUAGGUCUGUCGUGAAAUCCCCGGGCUCAACCUGGGAAUGGCGGUGGAAACCGGUGUACUAGAGUAUGGGAGAGGGUGGUGGAAUUCCAGGUGUAGCGGUGAAAUGCGUAGAGAUCUGGAGGAACAUGAGUGGCGAAGGCGGGCACCUGGCCCANUACUGACCCUCAGGCACGAAGGCGUGGGGAGCAAACAGGAGUAGAUGC